AUUGAACGCUGGCGGCAUGCUUUACACAUGCAAGUCGAACGGCAGCGCGGGCUUCGGCCUGGCGGCGAGUGGCGAACGGGUGAGUAAUGCAUCGGAACGUGCCCAGUAGUGGGGGAUAGCCCGGCGAAAGCCGGAUUAAUACCGCAUACGACCUGAGGGUGAAAGCGGGGGACCGAAAGGCCUCGCGCUAUUGGAGGGGCCGAUGUCGGGUUGGCUAGUUGGUGGGGUAAAGGCUUACAACGGCGACGAACCGAAGCUGGUCUGAGAGAUCGACCAGCCACACUGGGACUGAGACACGGCCCAGACUCCUACGGGAGGCAGCAGUGGGGAAUUUUGGACAAUGGGGGCAACCCUGAUCCAGCCAUGCCGCGUGAGGGAAGAAGGCCUUCGGGUUGUAAACCGCUUUUGUUCGGGAAGAAAUCCUCUGGGCUAAUACCCCGGGGGGAUGACGGUACCGGAAGAAUAAGCACCGGCUAACUACGUG
rnacentral:rRNA from 1 species